rnacentral:rRNA from 1 species
GAUGAACGCUGGCGGCGUGCCUAAUACAUGCAAGUCGAGCGAACGGACGAGAAGCUUGCUUCUCUGAUGUUAGCGGCGGACGGGUGAGUAACACGUGGAUAACCUACCUAUAAGACUGGGAUAACUUCGGGAAACCGUAUCUAACACCGGACAAUAUUUUGAACCGCAUGGUUCAAAAGUGAAAGAGGGUCUUGCUGUCACUAAUAGAUGUAUCCGCGCUGCAUUAGCUAGUUGGUAAGGUAACGGCUUACCAAGGCAACGAUGCAUAGCCGAUCUGAGAGGGUGAUCGGCCACACUGGAACUGAGACACGGUCCAGACUCCUACGGGAGGCAGCAGUAGGGAAUCUUCCGCAAUGGGCGAAAGCCUGACGGAGCAACGCCGCGUGAGUGAUGAAGGUCUUCGGAUCGUAAAACUCUGUUAUUAGGGAAGAACAUAUGUGUAAGUAACUGUGCACAUCUUGACGGUACCUAAUCAGAAAGCCACGGCUAACUACGUG